GAGAGUGUAGCUCAGCCGGUAGAGCAGCGGCCUUUUAAGCCGUGGGUCGGGGGUUCGAUUCCCCCCAUUCUCACAA
rnacentral:tRNA from 1 species